AAGAUUGACUGGGGUGUAGCUGGCCUUCCGAGGCAUGUGCACGCCCUGCUCAUCCACUCUACACCUGUGCACUUACUGUGGGGUAUCAGAUCGUGAAGCGUGCUCUUUUACCGGAGCUUGUGAAGCGUGUCUGUGCCUGCGUUUAUCACAAACACUAUAAAGUAUCAGAAUGUGUAUUACGAUGUAACGCAUCUAUAUACAACUUUCAGCAACGGAUCUCUUGGCUCUCGCAUCGAUGAAGAACGCAGCGAAAUGCGAUAAGUAAUGUGAAUUGCAGAAUUCAGUGAAUCAUCGAAUCUUUGAACGCACCUUGCGCUCCUUGGUAUUCCGAGGAGCAUGCCUGUUUGAGUGUCAUGAAAUCUUCAACCUAUAAGCUUUUGUGGUUUGUAGGCUUGGACUUGGAGGCUUGUCGGCCUUGAUCGGUCGGCUCCUCUUAAAUGCAUUAGCUUGAUUCCUUGCGGAUCGGCUCUCGGUGUGAUAAUAUCUACGCCGCGACCGUGAAGCGUUUGGCGAGCUUCUAACCGUCUCACUUGAGAGACAACUUUAUGACCUCUGACCUCAAAUCAGGUAGGACUACCCGCUGAACUUAAGCAUAUCAAUAAGCGGAGGAA
rnacentral:rRNA from 1 species